GAACCGGUUGACGUUGAAAAGUCUUCGGAUGACCUGUGGGUAGGGGUGAAAGGCCAAUCAAACUCGGAGAUAGCUGGUUCUCCGCGAAAUCUAUUUAGGUAGAGCGUCCGACGAAUUCCUUAGGGGGUAGAGCACUGGAUGGUUGCGGGCUGCGCGAGCGGUACCAAUACUAACCAAACUCCGAAUACCUAAGAGAACUAUCGGGCAGACACACG
rnacentral:rRNA from 1 species